GUGAGGAAUUUUCAGCAAUGGGCGAAAGCCUGACGGAGCAAUGCCGCGUGAAGGAUGAAGGCCUAUGGGUUGUAAACUUCUUUUCUCAGAAAAGAAUUAUGACGGUAUCUGAGGAAUAAGCAUCGGCUAACUCUGUGCCAGCAGCCGCGGUAAGACAGAGGAUGCAAGCGUUAUCCGGAAUGAUUGGGCGUAAAGCGUCUGUAGGUUGUUUAAAAAGUAUUCUGUCAAAGAUUAGGGCUUAACCCUAGAGAGGAAGAAGGAAUACCCGGUGGAGCGGUGAAAAGCGUAGAUAUCGGGAGGAACACCAAAGGCGAAGGAACUCUGCUGGGCCAAUACUAACAAUGAGAAACGAAAGCGGGGGGAGCAAAUGAGAUUAGAAACCCCAGUAGUCC
rnacentral:rRNA from 1 species